GGGACCUUCUCCUAAGAACCAAAUGGGAGGUAGAGAGAAGAGAACAUUGUGCAAUGAAGGACACACAGAAGCAGUCUGAGUAGCAUCAAGGUUCCACUGUAUUAGCAAGGCUCAAGGUUUAAAUGCACAAGCAAAAGGGGAAGUACUUCUCAGCAGGAGGAAUGGGGCAGCGGAAAUUUUUCUUUUGGCGACUACACAGGGAAGCAGGAGUGGUGCAUCAGUGGCCCGCUUUUGACCCCCUUUUCUUCUGGGGGCGGGGGAGAGGCCCACGGGGGAGAGGCCCAAUUCAGAGAUCAUGACAAUAGUGUUGUCUUAAUAGCUCCCAACAGAAUCCUAUAGUUUUUAAUUUCUUUCUUUCUUUCCUGACCAAGUGAUUGUUGAGUAGAGCAUUACUCAAUUUCCAUUAGUAUGUUAGCUUUUUGUUUUGUUUGUUUGUUUGUUGUUGAAGACCAGCCUUAAACCAUGAUCAUCUGAUAAUAUGCAAAGGGCUAUUUCAAUCUUCUUGUAUCCUUUGAAGCCUGCUUUCUGGCCAAUUAUAUUGUCAAUUUUGGAGAAGAUUCUUUGUGGAGCUGAGAAGAACGAAUAUUCUUUUGUUUUGGGUGAAAGGUUUUGUAGAUAUCUGUUAGAUCAUUUCAUGCAUGACUUCUGUUAGUUUCACUUUGUCUUUGUGUAGUUUCUGUUUCAAUGACCUGUCCAUUGGUGAGAGUGGGGUGUUGAAGACUCCCACUGUUAUUGUGUGGGGUUCAAUGUAUGUUUUGAGCUUCAAUAAUGUUUCUUUCCAUCUCAUACCUUAUUCCCACCCCUCCUAUUUACUCACUUCUUCCCUUUCUAAUUCAUGAUCUUUCUCCUUCCAUGUAAAUAAAUAUGUACACUUAUAUGAAAUAUAUUUGGAGCAGGGGCUGGACUGGGUCCCCAAUGUCACUUAUUUUAUGCAUUUUGACUUUCUAUGCUGAGCUCCUCCAUUUGUUAUAAAAUGAAAUUUCUUUGAUGCAGAGUUUGAGCUCUACAUUCUGUGGAUAUAACAAUAGAUAUUUAGUAUAUAGUUGGGAAAUUCACUGGUUUACAUAGUGGUCCUAGUAAGAUCUCCUCUAUGUUCUAUGACCUUUCUAGCAAGAAGUAGUUCAGUGUGGUUGUAGUAGCUUCUAUCUGCUACAGAAAGAAGCUACUUGGAUGAAUAAUAAGAGGUUUGGUCUGUUUGUUUGUUUAUUUGUUUGUUGAUUGAUUAGCCCAGAAAGGAGUCCUCCCUCACUAUUGAUGAAAAAUGUUUGCAGCUACUAUGAUUGUGAGUGUGGACAAAUUCCAAAAAGCUAAAAGGAGAUCCUCAUGCCCCCAUCACUCCUAGUCAGAUGCCCAAAGGAAACAACAUCCAAUUGCUUACAUACUUAUUCAGUCAUGUUUAUUGCCUCUGUGUUCACAAUACCUAGUAAAUGGAAACAACCCAAAUGUUCUUCAAUUAUUGAAUGGCCUAUAUAAAUAUAGCACAAAUACAUAAUAAUAUUCCCCUCAACUGUCAAGAGAAAUAUAACCAUGACAUUUGUAGGUACAUGGUUAAAACUGGAAGAUAUGCUUAAAUGAGGAACACGGACAUAGAAAGAAAAAAAAAAGCACAAGUUUUCUCUUGUUUGUAGCCCAUAGUUCUGAGUCUUUAGAUGGGAGUGCAUCAUCUGGAGUAACAACAGACAACAGUAUUAUAAAAUGGGAUGGAGGGCUCACUAGAGAGGCAGUUAGAUAACUGGUGCUACGAAGUGAGCAAUGGAAAAGGGCAAGGUGCUAUAUCUAGGGAGGAGGGCAGAAGGGCAAUAUAGAGGGAAGGAAAGGCAAAACAGAUGAAGAACACUAAAGAUGACUGAAAAAAUAGGAAAACAUAUUGUUUUAAUUUCAUUUAAAAUACAUGCAUAUGUGUUUAUAUAGUAUGAAUAAUUUACGUAAUAUCAUGACACUUAAUGUGAAAAUGCUACCCCUAAGUGCCAUAGACUCCCUAACAAAAGCCCCAGGGCUAUGCAUGGUGAAGCUCUAUUUAAGGUUCUUUUUAGAGAGAUGCAAGAGACACUGUCAACAAAUAAAUGCUAUUGCUAUUGUCCUUGGAUGCCUCUCGGUACUUGACAGAAAGUCCCUGUAAUGAGGACAGUGUAUACUAUGGUGAUAUAACUUGGAGAAAUCCACCUAGAACUGACCAAGGAGCCACCUCCCUGAGGAUUAGCUCUCAUAGUAUCAGAAGGUGCUGUGCAAGCUGUUAUGGGAGAAGAGAAAUCAAUAGCCCUGAGCUUGAAGCUAAUGUGUGAAACAAAAGUAGCGACUACAGACUGGAGACGGAUAGAAGGAAACUGCUCUGUGGCAGGUCCAGUGGCAUCUGUUUGCCUCACCUUUUCUCUGAUUGCUUGUUUUGACUUUCAGAAUAUCACUAAUUUCAGUUCACUUGUACCAAGUUUUCCCUGUGAUUUUAUAUUUGUCAUUGUACAUUGUGAAAGAUAAAUAUAUAUAUAACCUUGUCCAAAGAAAGAGAGAAAGAAAAAGAAAAUAACUCAGCCUUAUGGUGUUAGGGAAAUGCAAAUAAGAGGUCAUUGAAACAUGAGCAUGUCUGUUACAAAAACUAAAUUAAAAUAAGCGAGAAGCAAAUUAUGAAAGGAGGCAUAAUAAAUGCAUUGUUUUUUUUUGCUGGUAUGGAAAAUGACAGGCAUUUUGGACAACAGUUUGGCAAAUUCUCAAGAAAUUCACUAUAGUUUUGCCAUUGUGUUAAACAACGACAUCCUUUGGUACUAGUUUAAAUACAUGCACAGAAAAUAUCUGUGACAUUUUUCUCAAUAGCUACAAUUUGGCAGCACAGAAGGUAUCCUUCAAAAAAAAAAAAAACCUGAAUACAGAUGCAUGCUAUCUCAAUCUAAUAUUAUGUAAUGCAGUGAGCAAAUAUGUGGGCCACCAUGCUCAUUAAUAUAUGGAGAAAUUUUAAAUGAAUUUCAUUUAGUGAUAAUGAUACAUGCUAUUUGAUUGCACACACAUGCCGUUUUGGAAAGCACAAACUACAAGGACAGAAAACUGUCAGGGAUUGAUUAGUAGUCAAGUUUUGUUGGAGACAGUGGGAAAGAAUACAACACACAGGUAGUGGAUCUUGGAGGAUGCCUAAUCUGUCCAGUGGCUAACUCUUGAUCUGCAUGGUCUCUGAAGAGCUAAUGAUACUUAAUUUAACACUAUUUCUUUAAAUACAGCAUUGCUACUCAGACAUAACAUCAUUCGAUAGAUCUCCUGUGAUUAAGGGAAAGUCUAGUCCAACCUCAAGUAACCAGGGUUUGAGCUGAAUUAUUAUUUUUUAAUUAUUUUUAAAUUCUAUAUGUAAAGUGUUUUCCUUCUCAUUUGUGAAUGUACCUUGUGCAUGCCUUGUACUUGUGGAGGCCAGAAAAGACAUGGAGACAUGGGAUACCUUGGAUGUGGAGUUAUGGAUGGUUGUGAGUGUCCAUAUAUAUGGGUAUUUCCAAGCCAACUCAGGUCUGCUGUAAGGGCAGGCAGUACACUUAACUACUGAACCACUUUUCCAUCUCCUUAGCUAAAAUUCUUCUAUGGUCUAUUUCUUUAAUUUAUAUGUGAUUAGAUCAACUACUCAAGGUUUUUUGUUUUGUUUUGUUUUGUUUUGUUUUGUUUUGUUUUUUUCCUGUUUGAAAUUGUUUGCUUCUACUUACCUCCAAAUGCCUGCCUCCACACUUGCUUUUUUUGUAACCUUCCAGAAUCCAUGAACCCCUCUAUUCUGAAAUCUUACUUUGCAUUGUAACAACCUUUAUAAUGAGAUAUAUUCAAAAUUUGCACUUCACCCCAAUCAUUUCUAGUACCUGUUCACCUCCAUCUCCCCAUAGUUCAAUAAAAUAAAAUAAAAUAAAAUCCACUCUUGAUGCCAUCAUUAAAAAGAUUUUUGAAAGAAUAAUGUUAUGGUGUCUCUCUUUCGAUCAGAGUAUUGAUAGUAACCUGGAAGAUAUUCCUUGACUGAUGAUUGUAAGUUCCUUAUACAACUGUAGAAUGUUGCUCAGCAGCACUAACUUGUAAAUAUUGAAAGAAGUUUCAAUUGUAGCCAUAUUCUCUUUCAUUUUCUCAAAAUUCUUUGCAGUUAUCCUUCAAUUUCCACACCAAAUAUUUAGCUCAAAAAUAAAUGUGAGUGUCCAAUCUAAUUAGUCACUUUCAUCUACUCUAAUUGACUUCUACAGGUUAUAAUUGAAAUUCUGUAACUAUUCAUGCUUUUAUUCACACUAUUGUACAUUGUCAUAUAAUACAGAUAAUUAAACACUUAAAUUACUAAUAAGAGGGCAAAUUUAGUAUUGAUUGGAAAGGAAAUGAGAUUCUGGUUUUCAAAGUAAGAAAUUAUUUUCUCAAACAUAAAAUAUAUAUUUACCAUGUAUUAUUUAUAAUUCAUGUUUUAGUUUUUUAUUUUGCCUUUCAUUACAACUUUAAUUAUAAAUAUGACACAAUAUAUACAUUAAAUUUCUUCCAUGUUCCAUUGGGUUUUUAUUACAUUAAUAUACUGAAAACAAGAUCCUCAAAUAAAAUCAAAGAGAUAUUUAUAGAUAUUUUAAUGACAUAAUAUGACAUUUUUUAGUUAAACAGUAGUAAACAAAGUAAUAUUACUCAAUUUUUAAUUAAUUAUUUAAUUUAUUGUGACUCUCUUUCUUUCCAAGGUACAACACAUAUGGGUGAGUAAUAUCCCUAGAACUGGAGUUACAGACAGUAGG
rnacentral:lncRNA from 1 species